UACGUAGGGUGCAAGCGUUAAUCGGAAUUACUGGGCGUAAAGCGUGCGCAGGCGGUUGUGCAAGACAGAUGUGAAAUCCCCGGGCUUAACCUGGGAAUUGCAUUUGUGACUGCACGGCUAGAGUGUGUCAGAGGGAGGUAGAAUUCCACGUGUAGCAGUGAAAUGCGUAGAUAUGUGGAGGAAUACCGAUGGCGAAGGCAGCCUCCUGGGAUAACACUGACGCUCAUGCACGAAAGCGUGGGGAGCAAACAGG
rnacentral:rRNA from 1 species